rnacentral:rRNA from 1 species
CAAAUCUCAAAAAAACAAUCUCAGUUCAGACUGCAGGCUGCAACUCGCCUGCACGAAGUCGGAAUUGCUAGUAAUCGUAGGUCAGCAUACUACGGUGAAUACGUUCCCGGGCCUUGUACACACCGCCCGUCAAACCAUGAGAGUUGGCAACACCCGAAGUCGGUAGUCUAACCGCAAGGAGGACGCCGCCGAAGGUGGGGUUGAUGAUUAGGGUUAAGUCGUAACAAGGUAUC